UACGUAGGCAGCAAGCGUUGUUCGGAGUUACUGGGCGUAAAGGGUGCGUAGGCGGUCUGACAAGUCUGAUGUGAAAUCUAUGGGCUCAACCCAUAGUCUGCAUCGGAAACUGUCGGGCUUGAGUAUGGGAGAGGUGAGUGGAAUUUCCGGUGGAGCGGUGAAAUGCGUAGAGAUCGGAAAGAACACCAACGGCGAAAGCACUCUGCUGGGCCGACACUGACACUGGAGAGACGAAAGCUAGGGGAGCGAAUGGG
rnacentral:rRNA from 1 species